UAUCAGGCUGGUAAGGUGGUACCGGUGUCAUAGUAUCGGGGCAGACACAAGAGUAUCGGCUACUUUACCAAUACUUUAAAGGAGUGGGAGAAAAACUGGAUAAAUGUUUUAGUUGCUCAUAAAAAAAGCAGAGACGAGAGUGAUUAGUUUUAUUCUAAUUUUAGAAUAGUGACAUUUCACUGCAGACAGACUGGUAAGGCAGGACUUUUGGGGACUGACGAAGUAUGGUGGUGGGGUGGUUGGGGGGGGGGGUAAUAACCCCGAUGAGUUCUCACUAGUCAGCGUUGUCCCCUGCCAAGCCUUGUCGGCACAUUCCUUCAGUGGACACACUUCCCGAAAACAAACCAGGUUCGAAUAACGUUAUAUAAUAACGGCGAAAAAAAAGCCCUUUUUGCAAGCUGUUGAUUGAUUUAGCAGCUAACUGACGGUGGGGCUAACACCACUAACGCCACGGCAGCUCAGUUGAGGCGGAGGUGCGGGUCCAAGUCGGAUAACAACAUUUCCUGCGUGACUUCAGGUGUGGUACGAUCCUGCCCGCCCCUGGCUUUUAUGACAGGAAUGUAUGCAGUGCAGAAUGGGAGGAGGGGAAUAAAGUCUGGAGUAGCAGGCAAGUCAACAGAAUGCUUCAACGAAAAAUUGCAAGGUCAGAUACAAAAACAUUUAACACGUCACUUGGCCACAAUGCAAGUGACGUCAUCACAUCCAAACCGGUCUUCCUCAUGUGGCCUUUCCAAACAAGUUUCUCAUGUUACGACUCGCCGUAGCGUUUGUUCUGCUGAGCGGCUUUUGGAAAGCAAAUGUUACUUUGCGGUUUAUUUUAUGGCCCGUACCUGCGACGGCUACAAGUUACACUGGAUUUUGCGUGAUUUGCUUUGAUCAUCACAAUGAUUUUUUUUUUUGUUUGGGUAAUGUAUGUAACAACCGAGCGCAAAUACUCACUAAAAUAUUCCAAGAAAAGCAACGUCGGGAUGAUAUAUUCACAGAGACGAUACAUUUACAUGAAUGGUAUUUAUUUUUAAUGGAUGUGAUUGACAGCCUGACUUGAAUGUGAUUAGCACAGUGACAGAGCUGGACUAGAAUUCCCUCAUGGAUCAUAAAAAUGAAGCAGAAUGUG